ensembl:snoRNA SNORD39 Small nucleolar RNA SNORD55/SNORD39
ACUGAGUGUACCACACCUCAGUAGUGCUGUAGACUCCUGUUCCAGUUGUGAGAAAGUCAACCUUAGAGAGUUAUGUGUGGU